rnacentral:rRNA from 1 species
UACAGAGGUCUCGAGCGUUAGGCGGAAUCACUGGGCUUAAAGCGUGUGUAGGUGGAUCGUUAAGUGUCUUGUGAAAUCCCACGGCUCACCCGUGGAACUGCUGGGCAUACUGGCGAUCUUGGGCCAACUAGGGGCAGCCGGAACAAGCGGUGGAGCGGUGAAAUGCGUAGAUAUCGCUUGGAACGCCGAAGGUGAAAACAGGCUGCUGGGGUUGUGCCGACGCUGAGACACGAAAGCCAGGGGAGCAAACGGG